rnacentral:rRNA from 1 species
GACGAACGCUGGCGGCGUGCUUAACACAUGCAAGUCGAGGCCGGUAAGGCCCUUUCGGGGGUACACGAGCGGCGAACGGGUGAGUAACACGUGGGUGACCUGCCCUCAGGCUCUGGGAUAAGCCUGGGAAACCGGGUCUAAUACCGGAUAUGACUCCAUGACGCAUGUUGUGGGGUGAAAGCCUUGUGCGGCUGAGGAUGGGCCCG